CUUUCUUUGCUGGCGACCGGCGCACGGGUGAGUAACACGUAUCCAACCUGCCCUUUACUCGGGGAUAGCCUUUCGAAAGAAAGAUUAUACCCGAUAGCAUAAUGAUUCCGCAUGGUUUCAUUAUUAAAGGAUUCCGGUAAAGGAUGGGGAUGCGUUCCAUUAGGUUGUUGGUGGGGUAACGGCCCACCAAGCCUUCGAUGGAUAGGGGUUCUGAGAGGAAGGUCCCCCACAUUGGAACUGAGACACGGUCCAA
rnacentral:rRNA from 1 species